UUUUAUUUGAACAAUGGAAUGUUUUAGCAUAUCUCAUGCAUCAUGAUUAUGCAAUAGGUUGAUUGCAUUAGUAUCCACGAAUAUGUUGCAUUGCAUAGUUAUUUGUUGAUGUGGGUGAAUGCUGAAUGAUCCAAUAGUCUCAGAUAGGAAGUCCAGGAGCCUUUGACUACGCCCUGACAGGUAUAGUAAAGACCAGGAGCCUUUGACUACGCCCUGGCAGUUAUAGUAAAGACCAGAAG
rnacentral:lncRNA from 1 species